CAACUUUCUUCAUGUGAUUCCAAUUGAGC
rnacentral:piRNA from 1 species